rnacentral:misc_RNA from 1 species
AACGCAAAUUGCACUCUCUGGUUUUCCGGGGAGUAUGCCUGUUUGAGGGUCAGUAUAAAUUAAAUCGGCGCGUUGCUUUUGGGUGACGUUCCGGAGUUUGGGUCAUCUUUAAAGUCUCCUAGAUUUCAAGAGACCUAAAAUUGACAUCUUUUUUGCGCACUUUUAGACGUACAUAAUUUUUAUUUAGUCUAUUCGGGUGACAAAAAAUUUUAUUAGAUGUGACCAUGUCAAGCGGUCUCAUGUCUAUAAGAUUUCAUAAUUUGACCUCAAAUCAGGUAGGAGUACCCGCUGAACUUAA